rnacentral:rRNA from 1 species
UAGCUAGUUGGUGAGGUAAAGGCUUACCAAGGCGACGAUCUGUAGCGGGUCUGAGAGGAUGAUCCGCCACACUGGAACUGAGACACGGUCCAGACUCCUACGGGAGGCAGCAGUGGGGAAUUUUGGACAAUGGGGGCAACCCUGAUCCAGCCAUGCCGCGUGAGUGAAGAAGGCCUUCGGGUUGUAAAGCUCUUUCGGCCGGGAAGAAAUCGCAUGGGCCAAUACCCUGUGUGGAUGACGGUACCGGAAUAAGAAGCACCGGCUGACUACGUGCCAGCAGCCGCGGUAAUACGUAGGGUGCGAGCGUUAAUCGGAAUUACUGGGCGUAAAGCGUGCGCAGGCGGUUUUGUAAGACAGGCGUGAAAUCCCCGGGCUUAACCUGGGAACUGCGUUUGUGACUGCAAGGCUAGAGUACGGCAGAGGGGGGUGGAAUUCCACGUGUAGCAGUGAAAUGCGUAGAGAUGUGGAGGAACACCAAUGGCGAAGGCAGCCCCCUGGGUCGAUACUAACGCUCAUGCACGAAAGCGUGGGUAGCAAACAGGAUUAGAUACCCUGGUAGUCCACGCCCUAAACUAUGUCAACUAGGUGUUGGGUGGGUAAAACCAUUUAGUACCGUAGCUAACGCGUGAAGUUGACCGCCUGGGGAGUACGGCCGCAAGGUUAAAACUCAAAGGAAUAGACGGGGACCCGCACAAGCGGUGGAUGAUGUGGAUUAAUUCGAUGCAACGCGAAAAACCUUACCUACCCUUGACAUGCCAGGAACUUGCCAGAGAUGGCUUGGUGCCCGAAAGGGAGCCUGGACACAGGUGCUGCAUGGCUGUCGUCAGCUCGUUCGUGAGAUGUUGGGUUAAGUCCCGCAACGAGCGCAACCCUUGUCGUUAAUUGCCAUCAUUUAGUUGGGCACUUUAACGAGACUGCCGGUGACAAACCGGAGGAAGGUGGGGAUGACGUCAAGUCCUCAUGGCCCUUAUGGGUAGGGCUUCACACGUCAUACAAUGGUCGGUACAAAGGGUUGCCAAGCCGCGAGGCGGAGCCAAUCCCAGAAAGCCGAUCGUAGUCCGGAUUGCAGGCUGCAACUCGCCUGCAUGAAGUCGGAAUCGCUAGUAAUCGUGGAUCAGCAUGUCACGGUGAAUACGUUCCCGGGUCUUGUACACACCGCCCGUCACACCAUGGGAGCGGGUUCCGCCAGAAGUAGGUAGCCUAACCGCAAGGGGGGCGCUUACCACGGCGGGGUUCGUGACUGGGGUGAAGUCGUAACAAGGUAGCCGUAGGGGAACCUGCGGCUG